GCGCGAGGCGUCGCCCGCCGGGGAGCGCCCCCGGGACCCCACCCCGCAACUCCGACCCGCCCAGCUCGCCACUUGCGCGCUCAUACUGCAGGAGAUCAACCGCAAAAUGCAGUGCGUCACAUGGCAGCCGCAGCCUUAGUUAGUCUCGUGACCACAGCGCCAACAACGACAGAAACGUAGUACGUUUAACGUACCACUUAUCUGGCUGCGUAGGUCUCUCUAUCACUCUUCUAUAUUAGUGCGACAGAGACAGUUGCGUUUCGUUCGCUACGGAGCGUAAAGGCUACGCACCCUGGACUAUAAUCGCGAAAAUAGAAGUUUUCGAGCAACUAUCUCGGUUUCUCUAAGUACGCCUUAAUUAAGAAAGAUGCCAGAUGGCAAACUUCGGUGGUCGCGGUAGGCCCUCUGAGGCGGUUAGUAAAUAUUAACAAGUUGCGUGAUGAUUACGAUACAAGUGCGAAAAGUAGGAAGAACUUUUUAAAUCGACAUAAGUUGCGAAUUAACUAUUCGCAACUGUAUGGUACAACGUUUUACAGAACAUAUGGCCCUGUACAUUUUCGACAUAACCACGAAAAGUGCUAAUUAUUGCACUAGUGCGGUACAGUAUGUAUGGCCCAUAUGUACUGUAAUAGUACAUUACGAUACAAGUGCGAAAAAUAGGAAUUUCGAAACGGGUGGCGAUAAAUUAUACACGACCGAAGGGAGUGUUUUAAAUCGACACGAGUACCUAGGUAUUCAUAUUCAUAUUAUUUCAUUUAAUCAUUUAUUUCGGAUAACAAGACCCAUACAUUACUUAAUUCACAAUAUAAUAAUAAAAACAGAAUUUUUUAAAAAUUAAUAAUUUAAAAAAAAAGUCAUUAAGUAAUUAAUUUAAAGCAUUGUCAAAUCAUAACAUCACUAAUAUUCUUUAUUCACAAUAUUUAUAAUAUUAAAUGUCAUUUUUACAUUAAUAGAAUUUAUUCGCACAUGUAUCGUACAACGUUUUACAAUACAUAUGUCUCUUAUAAUCUAAUCUCUUAGAAUUAUAAUCUACAGCUAGAAAGACAUACAAUAGUACUCAAGUUUUUUUAUUUAUUUACAAAUAAAAAUACGUGUAUUUCAUUACUUUUUACAGCAGUUCAUAAGUAUAAAUAUUAGGUAGGUAAGUAGUCCAUCUUAGGUACAAAGUGUAGGUAAGUAUUUAUCUCAACAAUGUGCAACAAUUUGAUUGUGUGAGUAAUGAAAAAGGCGCGGGUACAGCUUGCUAAACCCGCCCUUGGUCAGCUAAUUGGAGAGAUAUUUAUUUGAUAAAAUACAAAAAUAGAAGCGUGAUAGAGUGGCCAGAAACAAGACAACUAAUUAAUAAUAAUUAAGACAACGGAAAGUAUUUUGACCCAUGUGUUAUAUACUUUCAAUUUCAUUAAGUUUAGUCAAUAAUUACGUGUAUAAAUUAAAUAAUACGAAGUCGCGGGCAACAGCUACUAGGUAUCUUAUGUUUUACAAGCGAGGCCACGAAUGAACAAAGAGCAUAUAAUCACUACGUACGAACGAGCGGCACUAGAGCAAGCACUACACACUUCAGACACAGCCUCAUCAGCACGCCGCACACGCCAGCUAAGCUACCGGUCGCCUUCACCGCGGCCCCGAAACCUGGCCCCGCUCAAACGGUAUCAUCGGCCGUGGGGUUGGAUAACGAUCGGUAGCGAAGAGCUGGCCCACACCAGCCACACACACCGUCCCCCAAAUGACGGCCACUUGACCACCCCACCGGUCGGUGGGGAGCGACCCGCGACAGCCGCCGCAGCCGGAAGGCGGAAGCGGCCCCUCAUACCCCCCUGACGGGGGGUAUCGACAGACAUCCAGUCCAGACGAGCGGCACUUCAGCACCGUGCACGGAGCCGGCGAGACGGGCCGAGAGACUUGCUGAUGAUUCGUGGCGACAGAAAUGUUUACGUCAAAGAUUUUUAACUUUUAUAUCUAACCUACCGAAUUUCAGAUUAAAAGCCAUAUCAUAAAACUGAA